GGGUCGUUAGCUCAGUUGGUAGAGCAGUUGACUUUUAAUCAAUUGGUCGCAGGUUCGAAUCCUGCACGACCCACCAUUU
rnacentral:tRNA from 1 species